rnacentral:tRNA from 3 species
CGGGGUAUAGUGUAGCGGCAACACGCGUGCAUGGGGUGCAUGAAACGCCGGGUCCGACUCCCGGUACCCCGACCA